rnacentral:lncRNA from 1 species
GCGGAAUUUAACAGUAUGUGGCCUUCCUCCAGGGACACUCAACUGAACCCUUAACCAACAUUAAGAAGUCUAGCUACACUCCUGGAGUCCAGCUAACAUGGAGAAACCAUACAGGGAGGCCACAUGGAGCGGUGGGGACAUGAGAAUGUGCAGGGAGGGAGAGGAGUCCAGCUGCCUUAUAAUCCUACCGGAGCCCAGGCAUCAGCCAUCUCUGCCAACCUGCAGCACGAGUGAGGACGCGAGUGUGCCACCUGGCAAGUGGAUCCUCUGGCCCCAGUCAAGGAGCUGCAGCUGAUGGUGCAUGGAGCAGAGAGAAACUGCCCUGCUGAGCCCUGCCAAAAUCAUAAAAUUGUGAGCAAUGAAACAAAGUGGCUGUUAUUUUAAUCCACUAAGAUUUGGGAUAGUGUGUUACAUCGCAAUAGAUAAC